rfam:Parcubacteria bacterium C7867-004 C7867_00001, whole genome shotgun sequence.
GCUCUUGUCGUUCAAUGGAUAGGACAUAACUUUGCGGAAGUUAAAAUGAUGGUUCGAUUCCAUCCAAGAGCA